rnacentral:rRNA from 1 species
UACGGAGGGUGCGAGCGUUGUUCGGAAUCACUGGGCGUAAAGCGCGUGUAGGCGGCCUUUUAAGUUCGAUGUGAAAGCCCGGGGCUCACCCCCGGAAGUGCAUUGGAUACUGGAAGGCUGGAGUACCGGAGAGGAGGGUGGAAUUCCUGGUGUAGCGGUGAAAUGCGUAGAUAUCAGGAGGAACACCUGUGGCGAAGGCGGCCCUCUGGACGGAUACUGACGCUGAGACGCGAAAGCGUGGGGAGCAAACAGG